rnacentral:rRNA from 1 species
AAUCAACGCUGGCGGCGUGCCUAACACAUGCAAGUCGAACGCGAAAGCCCCGAAAGGGGUGAGUAGAGUGGCAAACGGGUGAGUAACACGUGGGUGACCUGCCUUAGAGUGGGGGAUAACGUCCCGAAAGGGACGCUAAUACCGCAUAACAUCCUGCCUUUGAAGAGGUGGCGAUCAAAGCUGGGGACCGCAAGGCCUAGCGCUCAAAGNGGGGCCCGCGCCUGAUUAGCUAGUUGGNGGGUAAUGGCUCACCAAGGCAACGACCAGUAUCCGGCCUGAGAGGGCGGACGGACACACUGGGACUGAGACACGGCCCAGACUCCUACGGGAGCAGCAGUGGGGAAUUGUUCGCAAUGGGCGCAAGCCCUGACGAGCAAACGCCGCGUGGAGGAUGAAGACC